GUGAUGCCCUUAGAUGUUCUGGGCCGCACGCGCGCUACACUGACGACUUCAACGAGUUUCUGUUUUCGAACAGUGUCCUUGACCGGAAGGUCUGGGUAAUCUUUUAAAUGGUCGUCGUGAUGGGGCUAGAUUCUUGCAAUUAUUAAUCUCCAACGAGGAAUUCCUAGUAAACGCAAGUCAUCAACUUGCAUUGAUUACGUCCCUGCCCUUUGUACACACCGCCCGUCGCU
rnacentral:rRNA from 1 species